AGAGAAGGAAGGAAAAAGAUGGAGGGAGAAGAGAAAGGAAGGAAAGGGAGGGGGAGAGAAGGAAGGAGAAGGAUGGAGGGAGAAGAGAAAGGAAGGAAAGGGGGGAGAGGGGGAAGACAAAAGGGAAAUGGUCUCUGAGGACCCUUUAUGAGCAUGUGUGUGACUGGCAUGGCAGGGAAUGACCACACAUAAGAUUACAUGUGUGUUCCGGUACAGUGGGUAUGUGUCCAAGGACAAGGAUAGGUGGAGAUUAAAGCAGAAAGCCACUGGAUUUGCAAUCAGGGAAUUUGGUCUAAUCCCAAUCCUGUCAUUUGCUUGCAGUGUUCACCCGGCCAAGUCACUCGCCACUGUCUGCACAUCCCUUUUCUUGCCUCCUUCCCCCAAAGGUCAGUGAGGGAGAUCGCAGGAAUAUUCGGGUGUGCGUGGGGAGCGGGACUGCGUGAGUGCCGAGUGUGGGAGCCCCCGUAUCUGUGUCAGAGUGUGGCUGUGAGGUCAGACACAGAUGUGUAGAAAGAGGGAACCAAUGAAGGGAGAAAUACGCCUGAAAGUCUCCCUAUGCACCAGAUGUUGAGUUAACCAUUGGGGACACAAAUACAAAAGGGGGCGGUCCCUGAUCUUUACAUGGGAGAGACACUUUAUCCAGGGGAGGGAAUGGUGACUAUGAUGUGAAGAAUCGGGGGGUGGUGAGGGUCACGUUAUUCUGACUUGUUUUAAAGCAAAAAAUAAAAUGAGUGAGCAAGUGAGUGAGACGGAAGAGGAAGACGGCUGACUAGAUGAUGUGAGCUCUUGCCAACUGGUCAGCCUGGCCCUGGAUCAUGUGGUCACCCCCUCAAGAAAGGUGGGAAUGAGUUAUAGGGAUGUAAGUUAGUGGUGGGGAGGUGUGCACACGUCUAUGGGUAUGAGCUUCUCCUGGAUGCACAUGGUGUGUGUAGAUAUGGACACGUGGUGGGUACAGGUGUGCGCUCCUCCAGGAUAUACAUGUGUGUGGGAAGUGUGGACACAUGGUGGGUACAGGUGUGGACACAUGGUGGGUAAGGUGUGCGCUCCUCCAGGAUAUACAUGUGUGUGGGAAGGUGUGGACACAUGGUGGGUACAGGUGUGCGCUCCUCCAGGAUGCACAUGAUGUGUGUAGGUAUGGACACGUGGUGGGUACAGGUGUGCGCUCCUCCAGGAUGCACAUGAUGUGUGUAGGUAUGGACACGUGGUGGGUACAGGUGUGAGCUCCUCCAGGAUGCACACGUGUGGGGAGGGGGGCAUUGGGCCAGGACACCUGGAUACACACAUCCCCUCACUUAAGUCACUUAUCCCGGGUUCUCCGUUUGCCCUGCUGUCGAAAUGAGCUAGCGCCGUGAGCACCGCCCGCUUUCCCUUCAGGGGUGGUGGAGAGGAGCAGGCGUUGCAUGUGUGCAGGGAGGAGAGCUGUCGGUGGGGAGGUGAGGGGAGUGGAGGGGGGCAGGGAUGUGUGUGCCAAGUAGCUCCCCCCGACCCCCAACACGCCUCAGCUUGUUCUGCAUCGGCCGGUGGUGCCGCAGCUGCUGAUAACAAACCCCGCAUUUUUGGGGUCACCGAGGAGAACACGGGACACUUUCCUGCACGCAGGGAGCCAGGCGCCCGGGCACAAACUCCCCUUCCCCCCCCAGAUGCUGCCGAAUCAGCCUUGCCAUGCCCGAGACCCGUGGAGCCUUCC